CCAGGACUGGUGCAGCUCUACAGAUGCGGAAUGGGAAAGGCGACGUAGUUGGGGGCCUUGCGGUGGCGCUCAAAUGGGGGUCCUUGCGGUGGCGGUCAACAGGAGGUGUCAAGAGUCAAGACCAACUAGCUCCUCGUCCAGGAAAGGUGACAAUGGAAGAGCAGGUGGCUGUGCAGUUGCCAUGGUGCAGAGACCCAGAGUACGAUGACCGAACAGUUGAUCUACAACAGUGGCCUACUCCCCAUCCAGCCUGAGGAUCCCUGGCUACACCUACAAUCCAAUCUAUGCCAGACAUAACCACUCGGAGCUCAACAACUCUGCCUCCUCCAUGUUUAGAUGAAUGAUUUAUAAAUUGUAUUUCUGUGUCCCCAACUAUUGUAUUUCUAACCUAGUUACCUCGGAACGCUCUAAGGGAGCGACUAAAGAGACAAAGCUGGAGCAAACCUGAGCUUAACAAUCUCUUUCUAAUGUCCUAAAUUGAAUCGUAUAAAAUGCCUAAAGUAACUUGUCCAACAAAACAAAGCCAACCUAAUGCCCAAACUUAACCAUCUAACUAAAGAUCUCAAAUGCCUAAACUCUUAACUCAACUUAACCUAAUACCCAAACUUAACCAUCUAACUAAAGAUCUCAAAUGCCUAAACUCUCUUACCUCAACAUAACCUAAUACCCAAACUUGACCAUCUAACUAAAGAUCUCAAAUGCCUAAACUCUUACCUUAACCUAGUACCUAAACUUGACCAUCUAAAAGGCCUAAACCUUGCCUGGUACCUAAACUUAACCAUCUAACUAAACAUACCUAAACUCUUUCCUAAUACCUAAACAAUCUUUAAUGCCUUAACUUGACCAAACACCAAUAAUAAAAUUAACAUCUUUAAUCUUAAACCCAAACCAGCCUUGUCCCUGGGUCGCUCCACUGUGUUCCUUUUAAAGGCAUCUCUAGUUCCCCUGCAACUGUUUUAUUCCUUGAGGACUUGAGUACUUUGUAUUUGAAAACUUGUUUCAUUAAUACUUCAUCUUUACAGACUUGUUUUGGGUAAUUGGGACAGCUGUAUAGCGUCCUUACUCGUGAGUGACCGAUCUGAAGAUAUAAAUUUAAGGAUUAUGAAGCCAAUAAAAUAAGGCCGGAUAUGUGAAAAGACAAGGUAGACAAUGAUCGAGGAGUCAAGGAGUGGAUUGGUAAAUAUCUAACAUGGAACCAAAUGCCUAAUUAUUUGAUCUGUUACCAGGCUAUCGAAUUAGGGGAGUCUGAAGGAGUACCAUACAGUGUUGCAUGGAUUCUUGCUAGAUUGCAUUAUGGCUGAGGCCGUUAAUUUGAAGAAUAUGAAUAAAAAG